rnacentral:rRNA from 1 species
ACAAGCUACUAAGGGCAAUCGGUGGAUGCCUUGGCAUCAAGAGCCGAUGAAGGACGUUGUAACCUGCGAUAAGCCAUGGGGAGUUGGUAAACGAGCGUUGAUCCGUGGAUGUCCGAAUGGGGAAACCUCGAAGUUCCGGAGUCAUGUCCGGCGACCCCACCUUGAAUGUAUAGGGGUGUGGGAGGGAACGUGGGGAAGUGAAACAUCUCAGUACCCACAGGAAGAGAAAACAAUUGUGAUUCCGUGAGUAGUGGCGAGCGAAAGCGGAGGAGGCUAAACCUGGUGUGUGUGAGAGCCGGCGGGCGUUGCAUGCUGGGGGUUGUGGGAGCGGUCGUGUCGAUCCGCCUGGUCGAUGAGCGAGUGAUAAAGGUCUGUUGAAGCCGAAGGGUCUGGGAAGGCCUGGCAGAGUGCGUGAUACCCGUGUAGGUGUAUGGCAGACCCUCGUGAUUGUUAUCCCGAGUAGCACGGAACCCCUGAAAUUCUGUGUGAAUCUGGCGGGACCACCCGUCAAGCCUAAAUACUUCUUGAUGACCGAUAGCGGACAAGUACCGUGAGGGAAAGGUGAAAAGUACCCCGGGAGGGGAGUGAAAUAGUACCUGAAACCGAUUGCCUACAAUCCGUCGGAGCCUGCAAGGGUGACGGCGUGCCUUUUGAAGAAUGAGCCUGCGAGUUAGUGGUGUGUGGCGAGGUUAACCCGUGUGGGGGAGCCGUAGCGAAAGCGAGUCCGAAGAGGGCGUUGAGUCGCAUGCUCUAGACCCGAAGCGAAGUGAUCUAUCCAUGGCCAGGGUGAAGCGACGGUAAGACGUCGUGGAGGCCCGAACCCACUUGGGUUGAAAACCGAGGGGAUGAGCUGUGGAUAGGGGUGAAAGGCCAAUCAAACUUCGUGAUAGCUGGUUCUCCCCGAAAUGCAUUUAGGUGCAGCGUCGUCUGUUUCUUGCCGGAGGUAGAGCACUGGAUGGUCUAGGGGGCCCACAAGCUUACCAAAAUCAGCCAAACUCCGAAUGCCGGUAAGUGAGAGGACGGCAGUGAGACUGUGGGGGAUAAGCUUCAUAGUCGAGAGGGAAACAGCCCAGAUCACCAGCUAAGGCCCCCAAGAGACUGCUAAGUGGAAAAGGAUGUGAAGUUGCGGAGACAACCAGGAGGUUGGCUUAGAAGCAGCCACCCUUGAAAGAGUGCGUAAUAGCUCACUGGUCAAGUGAUUCUGCGCCGACAAUGUAGCGGGGCUCAAGCAGUCCGCCGAAGCUGUGGCAUUCACGCGUGUACCUGAGACUCUUUGUGGUUUCCAGGUGUGUGGAUGGGUAGGGGAGCGUCGUGUGUGCGGUGAAGCGUUGGGGUGACCUUGCGUGGAGUGCACACGAGUGAGAAUGCAGGCAUGAGUAGCGAAUGACGGGUGAGAAACCCGUCCGCCGAAUAUCCAAGGGUUCCAGGGUCAAGCUAAUCUGCCCUGGGUAAGUCGGGACCUAAGGCGAGGCCGACAGGCGUAGUCGAUGGACAACGGGUUGAUAUUCCCGUACCCGUGUAUCCGCGCCCAGUGGCGAAUCAAUUGUACUAACCAUCCAAAUCCCAAUGGACCGCCUUCGGGUGGCCGGCGGGUGCUGCAUGGGACCUCGGUUGUAGUAGCCAAGCGAUGGGGUGACGCAGGAAGGUAGUCCAACCCAGGCGAUGGUUGACCUGGGGUAAGGGUGUAGGGCGAGACGUAGGCAAAUCCGCGUCUCACAUGCCUGAGACCUGACGCCGAGCCGAUUAAGGCGAAGUGGAUGAUCCUAUGCUGCCAAGAAAAGCCUCUAGCGAGUGUUAAAGCCGCCCGUACCCCAAACCGACACAGGUGGUCAGGUAGAGAAUACUAAGGCGAUCGAGAGAACUGUGGUUAAGGAACUCGGCAAAAUGCCCCCGUAACUUCGGGAGAAGGGGGACCAGCCCUGGUGACGAAACUUGCUUUCCGAGCUGGGGGUGGUCGCAGAGACCAGAGAGAAGCGACUGUUUACUAAAAACACAGGUCCGUGCGAAGUCGUAAGACGAUGUAUACGGACUGACGCCUGCCCGGUGCUGGAAGGUUAAGAGGACCGGUCAGCCACUUCGGUGGCGAAGCUGAGAAUUUAAGCCCCAGUAAACGGCGGUGGUAACUAUAACCAUCCUAAGGUAGCGAAAUUCCUUGUCGGGUAAGUUCCGACCUGCACGAAUGGCGUAACGAUUUCUCCACUGUCUCAACCACGAACUCGGCGAAAUUGCACUACGAGUAAAGAUGCUCGUUACGCGCAGAAGGACGGAAAGACCCCGGGACCUUUACUAUAGCUUGAUAUUGGUCUUCGGUGCGGC